UACGAGAGGCCCAAACGUUGUUCGGAAUUACUGGGCGUAAAGAGUGUGUAGGCGGUGCUCUAAGUUCGGUGUGAAAUCUCCCGGCUCAACUGGGAGGGUGCGCCGAAAACUGGGGUGCUGGAGCGCGGGAGAGGAAAGCGGAAUUCCUGGUGUAGCGGUGAAAUGCGUAGAUAUCAAGUGGAACACCAGUGGCGAAGGCGAGUCUCUGGACAUUUCCUGACGCUGAGGCACGAAAGCCAGGGGAGCAAACGGG
rnacentral:rRNA from 1 species